GAUGAACGCUAGCUACAGGCUUAACACAUGCAAGUCGAGGGGCAGCAUGUUGGUUGCUUGCAACCAAUGAUGGCGACCGGCGCACGGGUGAGUAACGCGUAUCCAACCUACCCAGUACUCAGGCAUAACCCGUUGAAAGACGGACUAAUUCCUGAUGGUAUGUAUUUUUCUCAUGAAUUAUACAUUAAAGAAUUUCGGUAUUGGAUGGGGAUGCGUCUGAUUAGUUUGUUGGUGAGGUAACGGCUCACCAAGACUUCGAUCAGUAGGGGUUCUGAGAGGAAGGUCCCCCACAUUGGAACUGAGACACGGUCCAAACUCCUACGGGAGGCGACAGUGAGGAAUAUUGGUCAAUGGAUGGAAAUCUGAACCAGCCAAGUAGCGUGCAGGAUGACGGCCCUAUGGGUUGUAAACUGCUUUUAUGUGAGAAUAAAGUUAGGUAUGUAUACUUAUUUGCAUGUAUCACACGAAUAAGGACCGGCUAAUUCCGUGC
rnacentral:rRNA from 1 species